GUAGAUAUAGUUUAAAAAAUAUUAGAUUGUGAAUCUAAAGAUAGAAGAUCGACCUUCUUAUCUACC
rnacentral:tRNA from 1 species